rnacentral:rRNA from 1 species
AUGAACGCUGGCGGCGUGCCUAAUCCAUGCAAGUCGCGCGAACAGACGAGGAGCUUGCUCCUCUGACGUUAGCGGCGGACGGGUGAGUAACCCGUGGAUAACCUACCUAUAAGACUGGGAUAACUUCGGGAAACCGGAGCUAAUACCGGAUAAUAUAUUGAACCGCCUGGUUCAAUAGUGAAAGACGGUUUUGCUGUCACUUAUAGAUGGAUCCGCGCCGCAUUAGCUAGUUGGUAAGGUAACGGCUUACCAAGGCGACGAUGCGUAGCCGACCUGAGAGGGUGAUCGGCCACACUGGAACUGAGACACGGUCCAGACUCCUACGGGAGGCAGCAGUAGGGAAUCUUCCGCAAUGGGCGAAAGCCUGACGGAGCAACGCCGCGUGAGUGAUGAAGGUCUUCGGAUCGUAAAACUCUGUUAUUAGGGAAGAACAAAUGUGUAAGUAACUAUGCACGUCUUGACGGUACCUAAUCAGAAAGCCACGGCUAACUACGUG